UUGCUUUGGCCAAAUACUUUCUAAACUCAAUCUCGUGAAUCACAUAGGACUUCUCCUUUUCUACCAAAGUUGAUAGAUUUCAUCUAAGUACAUCCUACUUCAAACAAUAAACCUGAAUCUACUGAAGCCAACAUACACAGCAAGGACCAAAAUAUCUAGGGACCAAAAGAACAUACAGUCAAACUCAGUAGCCUCGCUGUGAAUAGUCAAUGAUACUGCAGAUUAAAGGACUACUCACACCACUGC
rnacentral:lncRNA from 1 species